rnacentral:lncRNA from 1 species
GAUAUCUUAUCUUCUACUUAUGUGCUUACCUCUUUUCUCUAUCAAAUAAUGUAUUCUUUGUAUCUACAAAAAUAUUCAGCUAACUAAUCAUUAUAAAUCCUUAACCUGGUGUGCUUUUGUCCGGGUUUUCAAUCUUUUCAAAGAUGGGUUGGGAAGUUAUGUUUAGAAGACAUAUUGGAAAGAUUACUUUUAUCCGAUUUUCCUUUUCGUUUCUCUUUCAUCUGUUUUUUUUUUCUUUUUCCUUUUUUCUUGGAAAAGGAUGCAAAAAGUUCCGUUGGUUGCAUUCCUUUCUUAUUUAAAAAAAAAAAGAAGAUUGUGUUCCUUUCACUGCUUUUGCAGCAUUAAAAAGUUUCUCUUAUUGCUUUUUUUGAGCUAUGGUUUAUAGUUUUCCUAAAGUUUUUGAGAGUUAGAAUUGUUCAACUGUGGCUUUUCAUGUGUAUGACUUAUUGUUCCCACCAUCUAUUUUGAUAGGAAGGAUGCUGUUCCAGCUUUGCCAUCAAAUGAUUCCAGGCACAAGAAGGUAUGUGUUUUUAAGUUUCCUGACCUUUUGUUAUUGUAUUUGAUACCUGGUAUCUAAAUCACCUUUAUCAUGAUACAUAGAAUAAGGUAAGGAUUGCCAUCACCAAUGUCAUGCUCUUUAGCAGCCGUCAUAGCAAUGAUGGAAAGUGAAUCUGCAAGUACUGUAGCAUUAAUAU